rnacentral:rRNA from 2 species
ACCUGAAAUCAAGCAAGAUCACCCGCUGAACUUAAGCAUAUCAGUAAGCGGAGGAAAAGAAACUAACAAGGAUUGCCUUAGUAGUGGCGAAUGAACCGGCAAUAGCUCAAAGUGUAAAUCUGAGGCAUCAAGUCUUAGAAUUGUAAUCUAUAGGCCUUUUAGGGAAGCCAUGGUUCUAGCAUAAGUUCCCUGAAAAGGGAUGCCAAAGAGGGUAAAAGCCCCGUAUUUGGUUAGGACUGGGUGUACCGAAGGGUUCCAAGAGUCGGGUUGUUUGGGAUUGCAGCCUAAAAUGGGAGAUAAACUUCUUCUAAAGCUAAAUAUUUAUGGGAAACCGAUAGCAAACAAGUACUACGAAGGAAAGAUGAAAAGAACUUUGAAAAGAGGGUUAAAAGACUUGAAAUCGUUGAGGAGAAAAGCGGUAGAAGAGAAAUGAUUUCAUUUAGAAGUAUGUGGUUUUGUAGGUGUCUUCUGCGGUAAUGGUACUUCAUAGGGCCUAGCUGUAGACCGGCAUCGCAUUGCUGCUUUUUCUGGAUGAAGUGCAAAAUGAGGUCUCGCUUGCGGAAACGUCUCUAGGGAGGACUCUGGCCUUGACGCUGGAAGCCCUGGUCUCCAA